AGGACCUUCUGCCUAGUAACCCAGCUCUGGCCCCUGGGAUUUCCCAAGCAGCGGGCCUCAUCCUCCUGCCGGGGCUUCUGCGCCUACCCAGCUACAGGGCAUCCCAGUCCCUGACGCUGGGCGGGGGACAAGGGAGCGAGAGCCGGAGCGCUCACCUCUUCAACCCCUUAAAGGGUGGGGCAGUGCCAGCCAAGACGCCCCAACUCAGCCUGGGCCAGGGCUGUGUUGAAACAAGAGGCUACCCACGCUGCUGCCGCCCAGAGUGGCAGCGAAAAACGCAGCAGUGGGGCUAGUGCACCUGGAGGCCAGAGGUAGGGAAGGGGGACCAGGACCGGGAGGGACCGAAGAGGUAGGGAGAGAGAGGAGCCACCAGAAAGGUCCAAGGGACAGCUGGGCUGUGGGGAGGAGGGAGAAGGGAGGGCUGGGAAUGAAGGGCCACCUGCACCUGGGAACUUGGAGGCAAUGGGGGCAUCCCUCAGAAGCAGGCAAGAUGGAUGAGGAGGCCAGAGUGAGCGCAAAUCGAGCAGGGCUGGUACCUGGGCCAAGCAAAGAUGUGUGCUUCCAAGGGGACUGGCCUAGGCUCUUCAUCUCCGUACCAGUGCCCGGCGUGAUUCUGCCUGGGAAGGCAGUGGGCAUACUGGUGGGUAAUAGAAGGUGGGGGGCCGUGGGUAGGCCAGAGCAAGGCCUAACCUUCCCCUAGGGGCCAGGCCAGAGAGGGCAUGGGCUGGGCCAGUAACCCCAUGCAGAGGGAGAUGGUGCUGGGCAGAUGUGUCAGAGAUUCUCAGAGGGACAGGGCAGGCUCUGAGGGAAGCCCAGCCCACACCCAAUGCCCCAGUCUCGGGAUCACAUGUGCUUGUCCAGAACUUGGAAUUCUCCUUGCCCCUUCCCUUCUGGCCCCAGGAUGUCUUGGAAUCCAAACAACUGCAGCAGACAUUCACCAGACAUGUGUUACAGAGACCUGGGCAUUUUCAAGGCUCUGUGAUGGUCACCAAGGAGAUGCAGGGUACAAAGAUGAAUGUACAAGGUCAUCCCCGGCCUCGAGGAGCUUCUACUCACUUGGUCCAUGUUCUUUUACCAGCUAACAUUCCCUGAAGCACCUUAGGUGUCAGGCCCUGUGCUGGGCACUGCAGGUAACGAUUGGAGUCGGGCAUGCUAACAAACGUUAACAAGGUGCUUCCAGUCCCAGCCUGGAAAAAUCAGGGGAGCAUCACAGAGGGGGUGAUGCUUAGCUCAGAAAUGAGAGACUAAGUACUUCACCACGUACUACAAUAUUUCACUUGGUCUAAACCACCAUUUGCUCCGGGCCAGGAUACAAAAGGGUGUGGAUCCUGCCAUUCCACCCACACCAAGGCGACUUCUGGGCAGACUUGCAUCAGGAGACAGGGCCCUGACCCACAGGCAGCACAAUCAUGGACAAGUUGCUUCACCUCUCCAAGUCUCAGUUCUUCCAUCUGUAAAAUGGCUAUAACCCCGACCUGACAGGCUUGACAGGAGAAUUUAAGGAAAUCAUCUCUUCAAAAUGCCCAACACAAGUUUCUCGAAACAUGCCUGGUACCUGGGAGAUGCUCAAUAAAGAUUUUUGAAUGAAUAAAUGAAGAGAUAAAUCAACCCCAUGAUGCAAGGGAACACCAAAAUAGGAAGUCAUUGAACACCAAUCCGUGAGGAGCUAAGCCACCCAGCAGAUUAAGUACUUCCCCCAA